CAGCCGCCGCGGGAAUACGGAGGGAGCUAGCGUUGUUCGGAAUUACUGGGCGUAAAGCGCGCGUAGGCGGUUACUCAAGUCAGAGGUGAAAGCCCGGGGCUCAACCCCGGAACUGCCUUUGAAACUAGGUGACUAGAAUCUUGGAGAGGUCAGUGGAAUUCCGAGUGCAGAGGUGAAAUUCGUAGAUAUUCGGAAGAACACCAGUGGCGAAGGCGACUGACUGGACAAGUAUUGACGCUGAGGUGCGAAAGCGUGGGGAGCAAACAGGAUUAGAUACCCCAGUAGUCCCUGUCUCUUAUAC
rnacentral:rRNA from 1 species